rnacentral:piRNA from 1 species
UGCCUGGGUUUUCAGAACUGCAUUACCUACAA